rnacentral:lncRNA from 1 species
AAAGGCGUAGGGUCCCCAGCUAUUUAGCGCUGCAUGCUGAGUACAGCCAAGAGGAGCACAGGAUCUGGUAUUCUGCUCAGGGCUGCUGAAUGAACAGACAUCUGGUCAUCGAGGUAGCAAUUCAAAGGACUGAAACGAAGCAGAACAGAGUGUUGGAGGUUAUGCUUGCUCAGUGAUUCUUGUUUUAUUUUCUCAAAGUGGGAAGUUGUGGUGAAACUCGCUGUCCUUAGGUUCACAUUACCUCAGAAAUUCCACCCGCAAGACUGCUAGUCUAUUUCUUAACUUAAUUGCUUAUUAGAUAGUGCUAGACUUACGAGUAUAUUCUAAAUAAGACUUAAAGUCUUACAAUGAUCUUAUCUCACUCCAUUAGGAAAGCGGUUGCUUGGAAGAGGGCAGCUUGGGAAAAGAUUUAUACCACACACACAUUGGCCUCAAUCUGUUCCGAGCCCAUGCAGAUUUAAAUUCUUGAGUACUAAUGAAAUCCCACAAAAUAUAGUAUCUGGAAAGGAAGUGCUGCAUUGUAGCACUUACAUUUAGAUAAGAACAUUUCUGCUAUUAUGUCAGCACGUAUUGACCUAGAAAACACAUGGAGACAUAACUGACCAGGGAUGUGACUUAUCCUUACAAUAAAGUACUGCAUCAGGCAAUCUUUCUUGUAGUUAAAGAUAAGAAGUGAAGCGAAGAGAAGUUGCCUAGCUACUUCUUAAGAUAACUCAGAAGCAAGAGGUGUAACAUUUGUCUGAUUAACCCUGUGCCUGUUAAGGGGUCAUCAACAGCUUAUAUCACACCCUAAAUAAUGUAGCAGGAUCAUAUUUUUGACAUAAUUAAAAUCUGAAUCAUAUUUGUAAAAAUCCUUGUGAUAAAAGGAAGAGUUUUUCUUUCUAAUCAGCCUUGUUUCUAAUGCUAAUAAAGGUAUCCAAAUGAAAAA